GACGAACGCUGGCGGCGUGCUUAACACAUGCAAGUCGAACGGAAAGGCCCUGCUUUUGUGGGGUGCUCGAGUGGCGAACAGGUGAGUAACACGUGAGUAACCUGCCCUUGACUUUGGGAUAACUUCAGGAAACUGGGGCUAAUACCGGAUAGGAGCUCCUGCUGCAUGGUGGGGGUUGGAAAGUUUCGGCGGUUGGGGAUGGACUCGCGGCUUAUCAGCUUGUUGGUGGGGUGGUGGCUUACCAAGGCUUUGACGGGUAGCCGGCCUGAGAGGGUGACCGGCCACAUUGGGACUGAGAUACGGCCCAGACUCCUACGGGAGGCAGCAGUGGGGAAUAUUGCACAAUGGGCGGAAGCCUGAUGCAGCAACGCCGCGUGCGGGAUGACGGCCUUCGGGUUGUAAACCGCUUUCGCCUGUGACGAAGCGUGAGUGACGGUAAUGGGUAAAGAAGCACCGGCUAACUACGUG
rnacentral:rRNA from 1 species